rnacentral:rRNA from 1 species
UACAGAGGGUGCGAGCGUUAAUCGGAGUUACUGGGCGUAAAGGGCGCGUAGGCGGUUAUGUGAGUGUGAUGUGAAAGCCCUGGGCUUAACCUAGGAAGUGCAUCGCAAACGACAUGAACUGGAGUAUAUGAGAGGGUGGCGGAAUUUCCGGUGUAGCGGUGAAAUGCGUAGAGAUCGGAAGGAACGUCGAUGGCGAAGGCAGCCACCUGGCAUAAUACUGACGCUGAGCGCGAAAGCGUGGGGAGCGAACAGG